GCCCGGGUGGCGGAACGGCAGACGCUGGGCACUCAAAAUGCUCUGCCCGACAGGGCGUGCGGGUUCGACUCCCGCCCCGGGCA
rnacentral:tRNA from 1 species